ACAUGUGCCAAGCGCUGCCCGGGAUCCCAGAAUUCCAGUCUAGAGCAGCACAACCAUCACUCUGAUAGUUACUUUCUAGAAGGUUUCACCACCUUCAUUUAUUCUUUUGCUAUCAAAUCUUCAGAAACCGCUACGGCUUAAUUCAACGCCUCCACAAAUUUUACCUGAGAGCCGGAAUCACUCAUUUGACGAUAUAAUUACAUAGCUGAGACAAAACAUUAGAUUUGGAUUAAUAUUCACUAGGACUUAAGGACGACCUGAAGGCAAGUGAAGGAGACGCUUUGGGUCGUUUGGCUUUGGCUUUGGCUUUGGUUGAGGGGAUCUCCAUCCUUGCAAGCCACUCAGCGCUGCUAUCUUUAGCCAUGUUCAUUUGGCAAACGGGUUUCGAUUCCUACGGGUUCAGAGUCCACAAGCAUGUAGCCACGGGUUUUGUACUUUUUGUUAGUUAACAGGUCCUGGAAGGGUCAAGCCAAGCUCUUUAACACCUACUUCCAUAAGCGCCAGACUGCGGUGUACCCAGCCAAGUCUAACUCGGGGUCAGACGCUCCUGAAUCCAGCCCUUGAAAACCAAAGCAGUGAGUCCAAAUAUGCAAAAACCCUACGAUCGUAUCCUUAAAGUUGUCCUCCAGGCCUCAGGAUGCAGCCAGCCAGCCAUGAGACUGUCUUGUAAAUGUUUCUUUGGCUUCCAAAUACAAAUUCUCUUUAGAGUGAGAACCGGCACGUAGUCACUGUAGAUGGCUCCUACGUUGCACUGUGGCAUUUACACCUGCUUUUAGUUUUGUUUUUGUUUUUGUUUGUUUGAUUGAUUGGUUUGUUUGGUUUGUUUUUUGAUGCCCAGUGUAAUUCUUUGCACCCAACUAUUUGAGUCAGACUGAAUUAGCGAAGGAGGUACACCCAGUUGAUGGUUGCCAUAUUCUACAAAAGCACUGCUCACUUGGUGAGCCAGUUGUGAGUCAUUCGUACUGAGCCACUGCUCACCAAGGAAAGCAAGGUUAGGCUCCCAGGGGCCUCCUGUCAUGACAUUUUGGCCAACUUGUCAACAUACAACUUGUUUUUAUGAAUGAAAGUACCUUAUUUAAUGUACAUUCCUGAUUAACUCUGAACUCACGCAUAGCAUCAUUGUACUCUGUGUGCCUGAAGGAUGCUUUCCCACUGGAUGGAUUUUCUUCACAAACUAUCCUACAGCAUUCUUGCACUUCCAGGCACCGGACACAGCACUUAGCACUACACUGAAGGACCCUAUCCAUUACUGUUGUAGGUGCCAGAUACUGGACCCAGGACUUUGUGAAUGCUAGGCAAAAUUUCUACUUGUUUAGCUUCACCUCACCUGCUCAGGGGCCACUCUAAACAAUAAAGAGAAGGAUCAGAAGACACCACCAGAAAGACCAUGAUGCUAGUUUACAGCAUGGAAGAUGAGCAAGAAAUUAGACCAUCACCCCGUUCACUCUCGACCAAAGAGGUGCCUAUCAAAUGCUCACAUCUCCAUUCUGUCUUCUUGAGUGACUGGAAAUGUGGGGCUCAGCGUUUGGAGCCUAGGACUGGCCAAGUAGGACAGACGUUGCCAGCCAGCCCCAGGGAUUCUCCUGUCUCUGCCUCGGUGGAACCGGGGUUGAAGCAUGUCCCACCACACCUGUCCUUUCUGCAGGGAGGUGGAAUUCAUCUCUUCAUGAAUCCAAGCCAACUAGAGGACCCAGGUGAUGCCAAGAUGUUCUGGGGAUCCAGAGAAUCAAGUUUGAACCUUUCUCCCACACACUUGUUCAGAUGGAGCAGAACAUUUUGGGGAUCUUCCUGGCUCCCAUAGCCAUUGUCUGGCUUGAAGUCAAAGUUGAAGCUUCUGGACUGUGAUCUUGAAGGAAAUGUCUCCUCGGCUCCACAAUGAGAAGAUUCACACUUUCUAUUCUCUUUUGUGCUGUGGUGCAUCCAGAGUCUUGUCUCCUUCAUGAAUCUAGAACCUGUCAAGCUGAGAGCCAGUAUUAACCAUCAUUCCUCACCGCAACUCCCAGCAUGAAGAUGUCUUCAAAGGAUGUUACAGCCCUCAUUUGCCCCCAUCUUGAUAGUCCCAAGGAGGUCUUGGCCAGAGUGGGCUUCCAAGGAACGCCAGUCCAGCAAGAGCAAAUUGGUUUCAGUUCCUCUGUGUGGUAGUUCUGACCUGUGCAGCAAGGUCCCCUGCUGAGCUCUGUUGAAAAAGACUGAAGUCACCACUGGAUCAGCAGAAAAAAAUCCCUGCAUUAGACAUAUCUGCUCUGACCUCAUCGGAAUGACUUGAACAAGCAAUCUAUCUUUAAAAAGUCAUGAGACAUUAAAAUUUGAACAUGGAAUAUC